rnacentral:rRNA from 1 species
UACGUAGGUGGCGAGCGUUGUCCGGAUUUAUUGGGCGUAAAGCGAGCGCAGGUGGUUUAUUAAGUCUGGUGUAAAAGGCAGUGGCUCAACCAUUGUACGCAUUGGAAACUGGUAGACUUGAGUGCAGGAGAGGAGAGUGGAAUUCCAUGUGUAGCGGUGAAAUGCGUAGAUAUAUGGAGGAACACCGGUGGCGAAAGCGGCUCUCUGGCCUGUAACUGACACUGAGGCUCGAAAGCGUGGGGAGCAAACAGG